rnacentral:rRNA from 1 species
AUUGAACGCUGGCGGCAGGCUUAACACAUGCAAGUCGAGCGAGCGGCGGACGGGUGAGUAAUGUCUGGGAAACUGCCUGAUGGAGGGGGAUAACUACUGGAAACGGUAGCUAAUACCGCAUACCAUCAGAUGUGCCCAGAUGGGAUUAGCUAGUAGGUGGGGUAAUGGCUCACCUAGGCGACGAUCCCUAGCUGGUCUGAGAGGAUGACCAGCCAAACUGGAACCGGGACCCGGUCCAGACGUCUAAGGGAGGCAGGAGGGGGGAAUAUUGCACAAUGGGCGAAAGGCUGAUGGAGGCAUGCCGCGGGUUGGAAGAAGGGCUUAGGGUUGGAAAGCACUUUCAGCGAGGAGGCGUUAUUCGCAGAAGAAGCACCGGCUAACUCCGUGCCAGCAGCCGCGGUAAUUC